AACUACUCUCCGCUGCAAAUCACCUAUCCAUCACUCCUUUUCUCGAUCAUCUCUCCUCGCUUCCCUUUUGUCCAUCCAAAAUCAUCUUUCUUCUCCAUACCAAAACCUCUAAGGCUCAUUUUAUGAAGAAGUCUUCCUUAAAUUCAACUCUCCUUUUAUCUCCUCCUCUUCUAUCUAAUUUUUUCCCCACUAUUGGAAGCUGAAAAUCUGAUACAGAUCGACAUAAUUUGCAUAUCUUGAAGACUAAUGGAGCACGAGAAGAAGGAAAGAAUAGUUCAGUUUUUGGCAAAAUGUUCACUUCAGCUUGAGAUGUUAAGAUCUGCGAAUUCUUUUCUCAAG